CUCUCUGUCCUUUCGUCGGUUUCUCUCUCCGUGUGCCUGAUUGCGUGUCUCGCUGUGAGAAGUCAAGACAGCUAAAAUCACCAUGAACCUAGGUGUUUUAUUAUAAAAUGUAUUAUUUAAGUAUC